rnacentral:rRNA from 1 species
UGGGGAAUUUUGGACAAUGGGCGAAAGCCUGAUCCAGCAAUGCCGCGUGUGUGAAGAAGGCCUUCGGGUUGUAAAGCACUUUUGUCCGGAAAGAAAUCCUCUGGGUUAAUACCUCGGGGGGAUGACGGUACCGGAAGAAUAAGCACCGGCUAACUACGUGCCAGCAGCCGCGGUAAUACGUAGGGUGCAAGCGUUAAUCGGAAUUACUGGGCGUAAAGCGUGCGCAGGCGGUUUUGUAAGACGGAUGUGAAAUCCCCGGGCUUAACCUGGGAACUGCAUUCGUGACUGCAAGGCUAGAGUAUGGCAGAGGGGGGUAGAAUUCCACGUGUAGCAGUGAAAUGCGUAGAGAUGUGGAGGAAUACCGAUGGCGAAGGCAGCCCCCUGGGCCAAUACUGACGCUCAUGCACGAAAGCGUGGGGAGCAAACAGGAUUAGAUACCCUGGUAGUCCACGCCCUAAACGAUGUCAACUAGUUGUUGGGGAUUCAUUUCCUUAGUAACGUAGCUAACGCGUGAAGUUGACCGCCUGGGGAGUACGGUCGCAAGAUUAAAACUCAAAUGAAUUGACGGGGUCAUAGCUGUUUCCU